AGGGGGUUUGAUCAUGGCUCAGAACGAACGCUGGCGGCGUGGAUAAGACAUGCAAGUCGAACGAGACGAGAGCUUAGCUUGCUUUGCUCGAGUUUAGUGGCGGACGGGUGAGUAACACGUGAGCAACCUGCCCAGAAGUAGGGGAUAGCCCACCGAAAGGUGGAUUAAUACCGUAUGUGAUUACCAGGGGAUUCCCUGGAGUAUCAAAGGUGGGGAUCCUUCGGGACCUGCCGCUUCUGGAUGGGCUCGCGGCCUAUCAGCUUGUUGGUGAGGUAACGGCUCACCAAGGCGACGACGGGUAGCUGGUCUGAGAGGAUGAACAGUCACACUGGAACUGAGACACGGUCCAGACACCUACGGGUGGCAGCAGUCGAGAAUCAUUCGCAAUGGGGGAAACCCUGACGGUGCGACGCCGCGUGGAGGAUGAAGGCCCUAGGGUUGUAAACUCCUGUCAUCGGGGAGUAAGGUCUGUAAUUUAAUAGAUUGCAGGAUUGAUAGUACCCGAAGAGGAAGAGACGGCUAACUCUGUGCCAGCAGCCGCGGUAAUACAGAGGUCUCAAGCGUUGUUCGGAAUCACUGGGGCGUAAAGCGUAUGUAGGCUGUUACCGGUAAGUCAGAUGUGAAAGCCCAGGGCUCAACCCUGGGAACUGCAUCCGAUACUGCCAUACUAGAAGUAGUAGAGGGGUAUAUGGAAU
rnacentral:rRNA from 1 species